UCACAUAAUUCUUUUUGAUGAAGCAGUGAAGUGUACGGAUCGCGACGACGGGGGCGGUUCGCCCCCCUCCCCCGACGUCGCGAGAAGUCCAUUGAACAUUAUCAUUUAGAGGAAGGAUAAGUCAUCACAAGGUUUUCGUAGGUGAACCUGCGGAAG
rnacentral:ncRNA from 1 species